GACGAACGCUGGCGGCGUGCCUAACACAUGCAAGUCGAACGAUGAAGCCCAGCUUGUUGGCCUGAUUAGUGGCGAACGGGUGAGUAACACGUGCGCAACGUGCCCGAGUCUCUGGAAUAACUACCGGAAACGGUCGCUAACACUGGACAUGUGCCAGGGAGGCAUCCCCGCUGGUUGGAAAGAUUUGUCGGUUUCGGAUAGGCGCACGGCCUUUCAGCUUGUUGGUGGGGUAAUGGCAUACCAAGGCGACGACGGGUAGCCGGCCUGAGAGGGUGACCAGCCACCCUAGGACUGAGAAAGGCACCAGACUCCGACGUGCGGCAGCGGUCGGGAAUAUUGCACAGUGAGAGCAAGCCUGAUGCAGCAACGCAGGGUGAGGGAUGACGGCCUUCGGGUUGUGAACCUCUUUUAGUGGGAAUGUGGAGCAAGUGACGGUACCUACAGAAAAAGCACCGGCUAACUACGUG
rnacentral:rRNA from 1 species